CCUACGGGGGGCAGCAGUGGGGAAUUUUGCGCAAUGCUCGUAAGAGUGACGCAGCAACGCCGCGUGGAGGAUGAAGGUUUUCGGAUUGUAAACUCCUUUUGUUAGAGAAGAUAAUGACGGUAUCUAACGAAUAAGCACCGGCUAACUCCGUGCCAGCAGCCGCGGUAAUACGGAGGGUGCAAGCGUUACUCGGAAUCACUGGGCGUAAAGAGCGCGUAGGCGGGAUAGCAAGUCAGAUGUGAAAUCCUAUGGCUUAACCAUAGAACUGCAUUUGAAACUGUUAUUCUAGAGUAUGGGAGAGGUAGGUGGAAUUCUUGGUGUAGGGGUAAAAUCCGUAGAGAUCAAGAGGAAUACUCAUUGCGAAGGCGACCUGCUAGAACAUAACUGACGCUGAUGCGCGAAAGCGUGGGGAGCAAACAGGAUUAGAUACCCUUGUAGUC
rnacentral:rRNA from 1 species